rnacentral:rRNA from 1 species
GUUGAACGCUAGCGACAGGCCUAACACAUGCAAGUCGAACGAGUGGCGGACGGGUGAGUAUUGUCUGGGAACCUGCCCGCUGUUGGGGGAUGACUACUGGACACGGUAGCUAAUAACGCAUACCCUCGGAUGUGCCGAGAUGGGAUUCGCUAGUAGGUGGGGUAACGGAUCACCUAGGCGACGAUCCCUAGCUGGGCUGAGUGGAAGACCAGCUCCACCAGAACGGAGACGCGGUCCAGACUCCACCGUGAGGCAGCAGUGGAGAAUAUUGCACAAUGGGAGCAAGCCUGACGUAGCCCUGCCGAGUGGAGUAAAAAGGCAUGCGGGUUUGAAAGUAAUUUCAGUGAGAAGUCGUUACUAUCAGAAGAAGCACCGGCUAACUCCGUGCCAGCAGCCGCGGUAAUAC